rnacentral:misc_RNA from 1 species
GAUGAAGAACGUAGCGAAAUGCGAUAAGUAGUGUGAAUUGCAGAAUUCAGUGAAUCAUCGAAUCUUUGAACGCACAUUGCGCCCUUUGGUAUUCCAAAGGGCAUGCCUGUUCGAGCGUCAUUUGUACCCUCAAGCUUUGCUUGGUGUUGGGCGUCUUGUCUCUAGCUUUGCUGGAGACUCGCCUUAAAGUAAUUGGCAGCCGGCCUACUGGUUUCGGAGCGCAGCACAAGUCGCACUCUCUAUCAGCAAAGGUCUAGCAUCCACUAAGCCUUUUUUUCAACUUUUGACCUCGGAUCAGGUAGGGAUACCCGCUGAACUUAAGCAUUCAAUAAGCGGAGGA